rnacentral:lncRNA from 1 species
CGUCGUCCCGUUAAUCUCAGAUGGAAAAAACGCAAAAUUCUGAAGCAGCCAUGAUGUCGUCUCAGAUGUCGCUUCGUUUCUUUGCGGCUACGUCACAGCGACGACCACCAUUUUGUAUACCUGUCAUCUCGUUUAACUCAGGUACCUAGCAUUAGAAGAGUCCAGCAGGAAUACAU